UACGUAGGUGGCAAGCGUUGUUCGGAAUUACUGGGCGUAAAGGGCGCGUAGGCGGCAAUUCAAGUCAUCUGUGAAAUCUCCGGGCUUAACUCGGAACGGUCAGAUGAUACUGCUUUGCUAGAGUGCAGAAGGGGCAAUCGGAAUUCUCGGUGUAGCGGUGAAAUGCGUAGAUAUCGAGAGGAACACCAGAGGUGAAGACGGGUUGCUGGGCUGACACUGACGCUGAGGCGCGAAAGCCAGGGGAGCAAACGAG
rnacentral:rRNA from 1 species